AUACGUAGGGGGCGAGCGUUGUCCGGAAUGAUUGGGCGUAAAGGGCGCGUAGGCGGCCCGGUAAGUCUGGCGUGAAAGACCUGUUUUUCAGAUGGGAAUUGCUUUGGAUCCUGUCGGUCUUGAGUGCAGGAGAGGUAAGUGGAAUUCCCAGUGUAGCGGUGAAAUGCGUAGAGCUUGGGAGGAACACCAGUGGCGAAGGCGACUUACUGGACUGUAACUGACGCUGAGGCGCGAAAGUGUGGGGAGCAAACAGGAUUAGAUUCCCUGGUAGUCCACACUGUAAACGAUGAAUGCUAGGUGUAGGGGGUAUCGACCCCUUCUGUGCCGCAGUCAACACCAUAAGCAUUCCGCCUGGGGAGUACGGCCGCAAGGUUGAAACUCAAAUGAAUUGACGGGG
rnacentral:rRNA from 1 species